rnacentral:rRNA from 1 species
GGGGAAUUUUGGACAAUGGGGGCAACCCUGAUCCAGCCAUGCCGCGUGAGUGAAGAAGGCCUUCGGGUUGUAAAGCUCUUUCGGACGGAAAGAAGUCGCCGCCUCUAACAUAGGCGGUGGAUGACGGUACCGUAAGAAGAAGCACCGGCUAACUACGUGCCAGCAGCCGCGGUAAUACGUAGGGUGCGAGCGUUAAUCGGAAUUACUGGGCGUAAAGCGUGUGCAGGCGGUUUGGUAAGACAGGUGUGAAAUCCCCGGGCUUAACCUGGGUACUGCGCUUGUGACUGCCAGUCUAGAGUAUGCGAGAGGUAGGUGGAAUUCUGGGUGUAGGGGUAAAAGCCGUAGAGAUCGAGAGGAAUACUCAUUGCGAAGGCGACCUGCUGGAACAUUACUGACGCUGAGGUGCGAAAGCGUGGGGAGCAAACA